rnacentral:rRNA from 1 species
UACGGGGGGGGCAAGCGUUGUUCGGAAUUACUGGGCGUAAAGCGUGCGCAGGCGGUUUUGUAAGACCGAUGUGAAAUCCCCGGGCUCAACCUGGGAACUGCAUUGGUGACUGCAAGGCUUGAGUGUGUCAGAGGGAGGUGGAAUUCCGCGUGUAGCAGUGAAAUGCGUAGAUAUGCGGAGGAACACCGAUGGCGAAGGCAGCCUCCUGGGAUAACACUGACGCUCAUGCACGAAAGCGUGGGGAGCAAACAGG